CCUAGAGAUAGGGUUUCCCUUCGGGGCACCGGUGACAGGUGGUGCAUGGUUGUCGUCAGCUCGUGUCGUGAGAUGUCGGGUUAAGUCCCGCAACGAGCGCAACCCUUACUGUUAGUUGCUACGCAAGAGCACUCUAGCAGGACCGCCGUUGACAAAACGGAGGAAGGUGGGGAUGAUGUCAAAUCAUCAUGCCCCUUAUGACCUGGGCCUCACACGUACUACAAUGGCCGUUAACAGAGGGAAGCAAGACCGCGAGGUGGAGCAAGACCCCAAAAACGGUCUCAGUUCGGAUCGUAGGCUGCAACCCGCCUGCGUGAAGUUGGAAUUGCUAGUAAUCGCGGAUCAGCAUGCCGCGGUGAAUACGUUCCCGGGCCUUGUACACACCGCCCGUCACACCAUGGGAGCCGGUAAUACCCGAAGUCAGUAGCCUAACCGUAAGGAGGGCGCUGCCGAAGGUAGGAUUGGCGACUGGGGUGAAGUCGUAACAAGGUAGCCGUAUCGGAAGGUGCGGC
rnacentral:rRNA from 1 species